AGAUUAAGCCAUGCAUGUAUCAGCACAAGCCUCAAAAUGGUGAAGCCGCGAAUAGCUCAUUACAACAGUCGUAGUUUAUUAGAAAGUACCAUAUGGAUAACUGUGGUAAUUCUAGAGCUAAUACAUGUUCCAAUCCCCGACUUACGAAGGGGUGCAUUUAUUAGAACAAAGCCGAUCAGACUAUGUCUGUCUCAGGUUGACUCUGAAUAACUUUGCUAAUCGCACAGUCCUUGUACUGGCGAUGUAUCUUUCAAAUGUCUGCCUUAUCAACUGUUGAUGGUAGAUUAUGCGCCUACCA
rnacentral:rRNA from 1 species